UACGGGGGGGGCAAGCGUUGUUCGGAAUUACUGGGCGUAAAGGGCUCGUAGGUGGCCAACUAAGUCAGACGUGAAAUCCCUCGGCUUAACCGGGGGAACUGCGUCUGAUACUGGAUGGCUUGAGUUCGGGAGAGGGAUGCGGAAUUCCAGGUGUAGCGGUGAAAUGCGUAGAUAUCUGGAGGAAUACCGGUGGCGAAGGCGGCAUCCUGGACCGACAUUGACGCUGAUGAGCGAAAGCUAGGGGAGCAAACGGGGAU
rnacentral:rRNA from 1 species